rnacentral:rRNA from 1 species
CGGUGGAUGCCUUGGCGCUGAGAGGCGAAGAAGGACGUGGUACGCUGCGAUAAGCCUUGGGGAGCUGCGAACGAGCUUUGAUCCAGGGAUUUCCGAAUGGGGAAACCCACCUUCGACCUUCUGUAUUGUGGGUGCAGGCGCGAGCCUGCAUCGACAAUACAGUUGGUCACAUGAAGGUAUCAAAUCCUGAAUCCAUAGGGGUUUGAAGCGAACCCGGGGAACUGAAACAUCUAAGUACCCGGAGGAAAGGACAUCAACGAGACUCCGUCAGUAGUGGCGAGCGAACGCGGAUCAGGCCAGUGCCUGUUGUGAUUUUACCGGAACGGUCUGGAAUGGCCGGCGAGAUGGGUGACAGCCCCGUACGGGACGGAUGAGCGACAGGACUCGAGUAGGGCGGGACACGUGAAAUCCUGUCUGAACAUGGGGGGACCACCCUCCAAGCCUAAGUACUCCUCAGCGACCGAUAGCGAACCAGUACCGUGAGGGAAAGGUGAAAAGCACCCCGACGAGGGGAGUGAAACAGCACCUGAAACCGGAUGCUUACAAACAGUGGGAGCCCAAGGUUCGUCCUGGGUGACCGCGUACCUUUUGUAUAAUGGGUCAGCGACUUAAAGUUACGAGCGAGCUUAAGCCGAUAGGUGGAGGCGCAGCGAAAGCGAGUCUGAACAGGGCGUUCAGUUCGUGGCUUUAGACCCGAAACCGAGUGAUCUAGCCAUGUGCAGGAUGAAGGUGGGGUAACACCCACUGGAGGUCCGAACCAGUGCCCGUUGAAAAGGUCUUGGAUGACGUGUGGCUAGGGGUGAAAGGCCAAUCAAACUCGGAAAUAGCUGGUUCUCCGCGAAAGCUAUUUAGGUAGCGCCUCGCGUGUAUGUCCCAGGGGGUAGAGCACUGGAUGGGCUAGGGCCGCCCACAGCGGUACCAAACCCAACCAAACUCCGAAUACCUGGGAACUUGCGCGGGAGACACACGGCGGGUGCUAACGUCCGUCGUGGAGAGGGAAACAACCCGGACCGACAGCUAAGGCCCCCAAUUCGUGGCUAAGUGGGAAAGGAUGUGGGACUCCCAAAACAACCAGGAGGUUGGCUUAGAAGCAGCCAUCCUUUAAAGAAAGCGUAACAGCUCACUGGUCUAAAUAAGGGGUCCUGCGCCGAAAAUGUAACGGGGCUCAAGCCACGAGCCGAAGCUUCGGGUGUGUUCGUCUUCGGAUUGAACACGCGGUAGCGGAGCGUUCCCUAGGCCUGCGAAGGAAGACCCGUGAGGGCUUCUGGAGGUAUGGGAAGUGCGAAUGCUGACAUGAGUAACGACAAAGAGUGUGAAAGACACUCUCGCCGAAAGUCCAAGGGUUCCUGCGUAAAGUUAAUCUGCGCAGGGUUAGCCGGCCCCUAAGGCGAGGCCGAAAGGCGUAGUCGAUGGGAACGGGGCGAACAUUCCCCGGCCAGCGGAUGGUGACGGAUGCCGUGUAUCGUUCGAGCUUAUCGGAUUGGUCAGGCGGUGAAGGGGUCCCAGGAAAUAGCCUCCGCGUGAGACCGUACCCGAAACCGACACAGGUGGACUGGUAGAGUAUACCAAGGCGCUUGAGAGAACGAUGCUGAAGGAACUCGGCAAUUUGCCUCCGUAACUUCGGGAUAAGGAGGCCUCUGUCUUGGGCAACCAGGGCAGAGGGGCACAGACCAGGGGGUGGCGACUGUUUAUCUAAAACACAGGGCUCUGCGAAGUCUGUAAGACGACGUAUAGGGCCUGACGCCUGCCCGGUGCCGGAAGGUUAAGAGGAGAGGUGAGAGCUUUGAAUCGAAGCCCCGGUAAACGGCGGCCGUAACUAUAACGGUCCUAAGGUAGCGAAAUUCCUUGUCGGGUAAGUUCCGACCUGCACGAAUGGCGUAACGAUCUCCCCGCUGUCUCCAGCAUCGGCUCAGUGAAAUUGAAUUCCCCGUGAAGAUGCGGGGUUCCUGCGGUCAGACGGAAAGACCCCGUGCACCUUUACUGUAGCUUUGCGCUGGCCUUCGUGUCGGCAUGUGUAGGAUAGGUGGUAGGCUUUGAAGCCGGGGCGUCAGCCCUGGUGGAGCCGUCCUUGAAAUACCACCCUUGGCGAUAUGGUGGUCUAACCGCGACCCUUGAUCGGGGUCCGGGACCGCGCAUGGCAGGCAGUUUGACUGGGGCGGUCGCCUCCCAAAGCGUAACGGAGGCGUACGAAGGUGGGCUCAGAGCGGUCGGAAAUCGCUCGUCGCGUGCAAUGGCAUAAGCCCGCUUGACUGCGAGACAGACACGUCGAGCAGAGACGAAAGUCGGUCAUAGUGAUCCGGUGGUCCCGCGUGGGUGGGCCAUCGCUCAACGGAUAAAAGGUACGCCGGGGAUAACAGGCUGAUGACCCCCAAGAGUCCAUAUCGACGGGGUC